rnacentral:rRNA from 1 species
GACGAACGCUGGCGGCGUGCUUAACACAUGCAAGUCGAACGAAGAGCGACGGAAGCUUGCUUCUCUCAAUCUUAGUGGCGCACGGGUGAGUAACGCGUAAUCAACCUGCCCUUCAGAGGGGGACAACAGUUGGAAACGACUGCUAAUACCGCAUACGAUCUAACCUCGGCAUCGAGGAUAGAUGAAAGGUGGCCUCUACAUGUAAGCUAUCACUGAAGGAGGGGAUUGCGUCUGAUUAGCUAGUUGGAGGGGUAACGGCCCACCAAGGCGAUGAUCAGUAGCCGGUCUGAGAGGAGGAACGGCCACAUUGGGACUGAGACACGGCCCAGACUCCUACGGGAGGCAGCAGUGGGGAAUCUUCCGCAAUGGACGAAAGUCUGACGGAGCAACGCCGCGUGAGUGAUGACGGCCUUCGGGUUGUAAAGCUCUGUUAAUCGGGACGAAAGGCCUUCUUGCGAAUAGUGAGAAGGAUUGACGGUACCGGAAUAGAAAGCCACGGCUAACUACGUG